rfam:Myotis davidii contig14653, whole genome shotgun sequence.
AGAGGUUCUCAGAUGACGUGCCCUGGAAUUGGGCUCCCUCCUCUCUGGUUCUGGGUGUGUCACCCAAGAACCACA